rnacentral:tRNA from 1 species
GCUGGUGUGGCUCAGCGGGUAGAGCAUCAGCCCUCAGACUGAAGGGACACCCGGGUUCGAUUCCGGUCAAGGGCA